UAGUUCUUGGGGUAUCAGGGUGGGGUAGGUUGGGUUGGGCUUUGUUUAUGAUUCCAGCUCUUAACAGUCAGAGGAUAGAAAAAGGUCUGGAUGUUGUGGCCUUGUUGCUUGCAAAAAAUAGUCAGACUGUCUGCUUUUAUGUAUAAUUUUGCCCCUUUAUUUAGGAGAUUGUUGAAAUGUUCUUGCAAAAAAAAGAAAAAACUUGA
rnacentral:misc_RNA from 1 species